CCUUCGGUCGGGAAACCCGGGAACUGGGUAUAAUACCCGAUAGAUCUCGACUGCUGGAAUGCAUCGAGAUCGAAAGCUCCGGCGCCAGAGGAUGGGUCUGCGGCCUAUCAGGUAGUAGUGGGUGUAGCGUACCUACUAGCCUACGACGGGUACGGGUUGUGAGAGCAAGAGCCCGGAGAUGGAUUCUGAGACACGAAUCCAGGCCCUACGGGGUGCAGCAGGCGCGAAAACUUUACAAUGCCGGCAACGGCGAUAAGGGGACCUCGAGUGCCAGGUUACAAAUCUGGCUGUCGUGAUGCCUAAAAAGCAUUGCAUAGCAAGGGCCGGGCAAGACCGGUGCCAGCCGCCGCGGUAACACCGGCGGCUCGAGUGGUAACCGUUAUUAUUGGGUCUAAAGGGUCUGUAGCCGGCCGGAUAAGUCUCUUGGGAAAUCCAGCAGCUCAACUGUUGGGCUUUCAGGAGAUACUGUCUGGCUCGAGGCCGGGAGAGGUGAGAGGUACUUCAGGGGUAGGGGUGAAAUCUUGUAAUCCUUGAAGGACCACCAGUGGCGAAGGCGUCUCACCAGAACGGACCUGACGGCAAGGGACGAAAGCUAGGGGCACGAACCGGAUUAGAUACCCGGGUAGUCCUAGCCGUAAACGAUACUCGCUAGGUGUCGGCCACGGUGCGACCGUUGUCGGUGCCGUAGGGAAGCCGUGAAGCGAGCCACCUGGGAAGUACGGCCGCAAGGCUGAAACUUAAAGGAAUUGGCGGGGGAGCAC
rnacentral:rRNA from 1 species